rnacentral:rRNA from 1 species
CAUUCAAAUUUCUUUAUUAAUUUUUAAUAAAUAAUUUAUAUUAAAUAUAAAAAUAUGUUUAUGAAAAAAAAAGACGACAAGACCCUAUUAAAUUUUACUUAUAGUUUAGCUGGGGAAGCUUUUCAAUUAAAAUUUUUUAAAAUUUUAAAAUAAAUAUCUAAUUUAAAUUAAAAUUUAAAUAAAUUACUAUAGGGAUAACAGCAUUAUAUUUUUUAAAAGUUCAUAUUAAAAAAAAUGAUUGUGACCUCGAUGUUGAAUUAUAUUUUCUAUAUUUAAUGCAAUAAUUAUAAAAGUAGAUCUGUUCGAUCUUUAAAAUAUUACAUGAUUUGAGUUCAAACCGGUGUAAACCAGGUUGGUUUCUAUCUUUUUAUAUAUUUUUCCAGUACGAAAGGACAAAAAAAUUUUUAUUUUAAUAAAUUAGCAAAUAUAAUGCAUUAGAUUUAGAAUCUAAAUAUAUUUAA